rnacentral:piRNA from 1 species
UCUUUUUCGAAUUACCUAGGA